GCGGAGAUGAUCGGGAAAACCGCACAGUUUGUUAAUUAAUGAUACUGUGAUACUGGUAUCGAUCAUCCACGCGUCUGACGUUUCGUCGCAGAUAACACCGCGACGACAAUGGCGGACGACAUCGGCGAGGACUUCCCCGGCAAACUUCUCCACCAGGCGGCGCUGUGGGACAACGCCGAGCUGCUCGGCGACUUGCUCAAUGGCGACCAGGUGCAGUACAUUGAUCAGGUGGACGUUGAGGGAAGGUCGGGACUGCACGCCGCUGCCACGCACGGUUCCUCACAGUGCAUGAAAAUAUUGCUGGAUG